GAGGAGAUACUCAAAGUAACUAUGCAAAUGUCCUGUUUUUCAUCAAGCUUUCACCCACUAAUUUUAGCCUACACUGAUGAUUCAUGCCUGAUACAAUUGUUAUUGUGGUGUUUGCCAAAUAGUGAUUUUUCUAUUUCAAUCAUUACUUCUACAUUUACUAGACUUUAUUAGUUAGACCUCUACUGUAAUGAAGACUGCUUUCUCUAUUCAUUCAUUCAUUCAUUUGUUUAUAUCUGUAUGGACUCGUGAAUUCUUAUUUUAUGGAUUAUAAUUCAUUACAUCCAGUAUUUAUUUCUUGCUCAAAUUGUCCCAGAUUUAGACAUUGGGAGAUCCUUCAAGUUGGCUUCUGUGUGCUUUUGACAUGUUCCUUUCAUUUUUAAGUGCUUCCAAACCCUCUGGUCCCAGCCCUGGAAUCAACCAUUUCUCCAAAGAGGCAGAAAUAUGUUCAGACAGAUAGCUGAUUGAUAGAUGGAUAGAUACAUAGAUGCUUUAUAUAUAAACAGUAUGUUUAUAUCAGCUUUAUUGAGAUAUAAUUCACAUAUCAUAUCAUUCACUCACUUAAAGUUUACAAUUCAGUGUCUUUUAGCAUAUUCAGAGUUGUUCAACCAUCAUCACAACAAGUUUAAAAUAUUUUCAUCACCCCAAAAAGCCAUCCUGUACCCAUUAGAAGUCACUCCCCAUUUCCCUCCAACCUCUCCCUACUACCUCCCUAGGCAACCACUAAUCUACUUUUUGUUUCUAUUGACUUGCCUAUUCUGGACAUUUCAUAUAAAUGGAAUCAUGCAAUAUGUAUCUUUUGACUGGCAGCUAUCAUUUAGCAUAAUGUUUUCAAGUUUCAUCCAUGUUAUCACAUGGGUCAGUACUUCACUCAUUUCUAUUACCAAAUAAUAUUCCAUUGUCUGGAUACACCACAUUUUAUCCAUUUAUCAGUUAUGAACAUUUGGGUUAUUUCCACUUUUUGGCUUUGAUGAAUAAUGGCAGCAAUAUAUUAUAAGAUAUAUUCAAGAGGCUGUGUGUAAAUCUUCCAUCAACUUCAACUACCUCACCACACUCCAUGGUGUGGCUCCUUAUUUUUCCUGUCUGCGUGCCAAGGGUGGACACCCAGAUUGCUUCUAAUUCAUUGCCAUCACAAGUUUUGAUGUGAUCAGCAUCCUCCAACUUGUCUCUUUAUGCACUUUUGGGAGAAUUUCUUUCCGAUGUAUGUCAAGGAGCAGAAUUGCUCUGUCAGAGAGUAUAUUCUCGAUUUGACUAAGCUCUCCAAAAUGGCUGCUCCAUCUUGACUCCCAUCAGCAGUUUAUGUGAGUUCCUAUAGCCUCACACACACACACACACACACACACACGCAUGCACACCCCAACACUUGAGAUUAUUCAACUUUAAAAUUAUUUUCACCAGUCUAAUAGGUGUAAAAUCGUAUCUAAUUUUGUUUUAAUUUAUUUAUAUUUAUCUGAUUGCUGCUUAGUUUGAGAAUUUCUUCAUGUGCCUAUUAGCCUUAUGGCUUGCUUUCCUUUUCAUACCCAUAUCUUAAGUCCUCUGCAAAGGUUUCCCUUCUGGGAGGGCUAGAUUGGUGGUCUCAAUCCUGUAGGAAGCCUGGACCCCAACUAGGGCUUCUACUCUGUACUGUGGGGGACUCACAGAUGCCUCUCUGUCUCUGAUUUCUUGACCUGUUUGAACUAAUUUCCUUGACGCUGGUCCAAAAGUCUCCCUUUGGAUCAAAGCCAUGGUUGUCAUUAUUCAUACCUCCCUGUGACCCUAAGGAUGCGGCUCCUAUGCCCUCCACACACCUCCACAGCCCUGUAUGAGUCCAGAAGCUAUCUUUCCCUCCCUAGAGCUAACGCUUUAUCAGAAAACCUCAGAGAUAUUCCACUGUCCAAAAUCACCUGGAAGGAUGAUGUGUGGGGUCCUCUCAAAGAAAAGAGGCACUGUAGAAGCUAUCAGUGGAACAGAGCAUCCAGGAAGUUUCACUCCUGUCAAGGCCCUGGGGCUACCUAUGUGGAGAAGAUAGUGAGGAUAAAACAUGGGGCACCCUCUCCUCAAAGAGGGAAGGAUCUGUGGGAAAGAUGGGAGAACUUCAGAAGAGCCUGGGGCCUGAGUGUCAGGAAACCACUAGGAAGGAGGCAGUGGGGCAGCUAGGGGAGGGAGAGAAGUUCCUAUGACCUGCAGUGGCUUUUGAGAAAUGAUGGCCAUGACCCUGGGGUUACCUCCAGGGUCUGGCCCCUCCCUCACCAGCCUCAGCUCCCAAAUUCUUCCAGAUUAGGGCCUUCUGUUCAAAGGCAAGCUCUUGGUGCUUCCCCAUCUUCUUUCUCUGACACAGACUCCUGCCUUUAUCAGAGCUGCCUUUCUCUACUCCUUAUUUGAAUCACUUCCCUCCCUCCACCCACUGCCCCAGCAUCCCACAAAAUCCAGAUCUAAUCACAAGUUCUCUAGGGUGCCUUUUCUGGGUCCAUGUCUCCUUCCCCAUCUCCACUUACCUUCCUCUCCAGGAAAAAAAGGAGGGACCUUCUGGCAGGUGCCCAAGGGAAGGGGGAUGGAGCUGGAGCAUGAAGUGGAGGAGAGUCUCUUCACCUCAAAAGGCUGGGUGUCCUCCAACACUGCCUUGAAGCUGCCAUCUUUCCACAGGUUACCACAGCCUGCAGAGCUCACAAGUCAAGGCUCUCUCUCCACCAGCCUCAGUGACUCUGGCCUUAUAAAGUACAAGGCCCCGCAGUUUCCUACCUCAUCUCCCUCCCACCCUACUUCCAGUGCUCCAGCCAUUCCCAGCAGGAAAAGCUGGGCCCUGCUGUCUGGUCUCCAGGCCUUGGCUACUGCUGAAGCCACAGGUUGAUUCUCCUUUCUCUCAUAAUCUGGCAAACCCCUGCUCAUCUCUCCAGACAGCUCAUCACCACCUUCUCUGUAGGAUCAUCCCUUACCCCUUCCCUCAGGCACAGAAAAGUGGAAUUAUUAGCUACAAAAAAUAUAUACAGUUGAAAUAGAGAACGCAAUAGAUGGGAUAAAUAGUAGGUUGAAUACAGAUGAAGAAUGAAUAAGUGAAUUGGAAGAUAAGAUCGAGGAAUUCUCCCAGAAAGCAGCAGGGAAGAAUAAAAAUAUAGAAAAUAUUAAUUAAAAAACCAAGAGAAAUGGAAAAUAGAAGUGCCAGCAUCUUGAUAAUAGUCUCAGAGAAAGUGUAAGACUAAACAAACAAAUAAAUGAGAGGAGAAAAUAUUUGAAGAAUGGAGAUAAACAUCCCAGGAGUAAAGUUCACUGGGUACAAAAUCAAUUUGCAAACAUCAAUUGUAUUUUUGUAUAUAAGCAGAUACAGUUAGAAAAUAAAAAUUUUAAAUUACCAUUUAAACGGCAUUUAAAAAUCGGUUACUUAGAAAUCCUAGAAAUACAUCUGAGGACAUGUAAGUUCUUUAAUGGAGAAAACUAUAUAACUUUAAAGAGAGAUUAAAGAAGAUGUAGAUAAACGGAAUGAUAUACCAUGUUUAUAGGCUGGUGAACUCAAUAUUACAAGGAUGUCAGUUCCCCAAAUUGAUCUACAGAUUCAAUGCAAUUUCAGUUAAAGCAUUGAUGGGUUGUUAUUGUUUUGUGGAACAUGACUGAUUCCAAAAUUUAUAGAGAAUUGAAAAAGGCCAAAAAUAGCCAUGACUCCUGAAGAAGAACAAUAUGGGAGGACUUGCUUUAUCAGAUGUUCAGAUUUUUUAAUAAAGCUAUAGUAAUUAGGAUCGUAGUAUUGGCACAAGAGUAGAAAACUAGCCUACUUGGACAAACAGCUCAGAAAAAGACCCAUGCAUAUUUGCAAACUUGAUUUAACAAAAAUGUGGCACAGUAGAGCAAUGGUACCAGGGCAGUCUUUUUAAUAAAUGGUGUUGGGACAACUGGGUGUCCAAAUAGAAAAAAAAAUGCUAAAUUGGAUGUUUACCUCACAUCAUAUAUCUGAAAAAUCAGAUAAUUCACAGAUAGAUUAUAAACCUAAAUGUGAAAAGCAAAGAAGAUAACACAGGAGAUAUAUUUUUGACUUUGGGAAUAGUAAAAGAUUUCUUAACAAGACAUCAAAAUUAUUAACAAUAAAAGGCAAGGACUGAUAAAAUUGACUACACUAAAAAUAAUAACUUCUUUUCUCUCAGAAACACCAUAAACAGUGCAAAGGCAAAUUACAGAAUAGGAAAAAGUAUUUGCAUCACUUAAGCCAUCAAAUAUUUCAUAUCUAGAUUAUAAAAAGUACAAUUCAACAAGAGGGCAGAUAUCAACAGAAAUAUAGGCAAAAAGAGUCGAAUGAGCAUUUCACAAGAGAAUACCUAAAUGGCCAGUAAGUAUAUGAAAACAUGCUCAACUUCAUUAGUUAUCAGGGAAAUGACAAUUUAAACCACAUGAGAUACCACUUCAUGCUCCUUAGAUUGGCAAAAGUGAAAAAUUAACAGUACGAAAGAUUGGUAAGGAUGUGAAACAACAGGGCCUCUCACACUCUGCCGAACCUAAAAUUGCUCUAAAAAAUAAAAUCUACUUUAAAAACAAGAAAUCUCUAUCUCUUCUAGUCACAGAACUGAUGUAGCCUGAAAUCAGACAUAAAGCCAAAUCCUGCAGGUUGCUGAAUUACAAUGCAGGUUGAGUUCACAAGAUCUCCUGGUCCUUUAUGUGAAACCAAAAGACCAUUGAUUGGGGGGAAAAUGGGACCUUGAGAAUUGGCAUAGUAACAUCAGGGUUGAUUUGGAUAGAUCUGAGUUCCCUAAACCCCAACCACCACUAAGCCUCCCUUGGUGGCAAAGGCAGACUUCCUCCCCAGUCUAAUGGGCUGAACCUGCAUGACUUGGGGAUCCUCUAAUGAUUUGGCUAAUCUUUCUCAAGAUUCACACAUAUCACUUGUUGGUGUCUCUAUACCCAUUACUUGAUUCAGAUUCCUGCAUGUCCCAGGGGAAGUAGAGUUGGACCUGUGAGGAGAAAGCCACAUACACACAAAAAUGAUAAAAUGUAGCUAACUGAUAUUGGCCGAAACCUCAGUAAUAUGUGUGGGAAUUGAUUCUAUGGAUGAUAGAUCAGAAAGAAAUGUAACUAGAUUGGGGCAAACUUUUCUUAUUGUGGUAAAAUAUAUAUAACAUAAAAUUUGCCAUUUUAACCAUUUUUGAAUGUACAAUUAGGUGACAUUAAUUACAUUCACAGUGUUGUGCAAACACCAUCAUUAUCUAGUUCCAAAACUUUUGCAGCACCCCAAACACAAGCUCUGAACCCAUUAAGCAAUAACUUCUUAUUCCCCACUUCCCCCAGCUCCUGGUAACCUCUAACCUACUUUCUAUAUUUAUGAAUGUGCCUAUUCUAUAUUAUUUCAUAUAAGUGGACUCCUACAAUAUUUGUCCUUUUGUAUUUGGAUUAUUUCACUUAGAGUAAUGUUUUCAAGAUUCAUCCAUGUUGUAGCAUGUGUCCGAACUUCAUUCCUUUUUAUGACUGAAUAUUCCAGUAUAUGUGUAUACCCCAUUUUGGUUUUUUAUUCAUCUGUUGAUGAACACUUGGGUUGUUUCCACCUUUUGGCUAUUGUGAAUAAUGCUGCAAUGAGCAUUGGUGUACAAGUAUCUGUUUGAGUACCUGUUUUCAAUUCUCUUGGAUAUAUACCUAGGAGUGGAAUUGCUGGGUCAUAUGGUAAUUCUUUAACUUUUUGAGGAACUGCCAACUGUUUUACACGAUGGCUGUACCAUUUUACAUUCCCACCAGCAAUGUACAAAGGUUCCAAUUUCUCCACAUCCUGUCCAGUGUUUUUAUUAUUAUUAUUAUUAUUAUAUAUCCAUCCUAGUGGGUAUGAAGUGGUAUCACACUGUAGUUUUGAUUUGCACUUUCCUAAUAACUAGUAAUGUUGAGCAACUUUUCAUGUGCUUGUUGGUCAUUUGUGUAUCUUCUUUGGGGAAAUGUCUAUUCAAAUCCUUUGCCCAUUUUUUUUUAAAGAUUUUAUUUUUUCUUUUUCUCCCCAAAGCCUCCCAGUACAUAGUUGUGUAUUUUUAGUUGUGGGUCCUUCUAGUUGUUGCAUGUGGGAUGCUGCUUCAACACGGCCUGACGAGCGGUGCCAUGUCCACGCCCAGGAUCCGAACCGGCGAAACCCUGGGCUGCUGAAGUGGAGCACGCGAACCUAACCACUCGGCCACGGGGCUAGCCCCCCUUUGCCCAUUUUUAAAUUGGGUUGUUAGCCUUUUUGUUGUUGAGUUGUAGGAGUUCUUUGUAAAUUCUGGAUAUUAAAUUUUUAUUAAAUACAUGACUUGCAAAUAUUUUCUUCCAUUCUGUAGGUUGUCUUUUCACUUUCUUGAUAAUGUCCUUUGAUGCACAAAAGUUUUUAAUUUUGAUUAAGUCCAAUUUAUAUAUUUUUUUCUCUCAUUGCUCAUGCUUUUGGUGUCAUAUUUAAAAAUCUGUUGCCAAAUCUAAGGUCAUGAAGAUUUACCCGUUUUCUUCUAAGAGUUUUAUGAGUGUAACUCAUAUACACCCAUAAACCCAUGAGGUUGUUGAUCCAUUUUGAGUUAACGGUAUAUGGUGUGAGGUAGGGAUCCAACUUCAUUCUUUUACAUGUGGAAAUCCAGUUGUACCAGCACCAUCUCUUGAAGAGAUUAUCCUUUCCCCACUGAAUGGACUUGUCAAAAACCACUUGGGAAUUUUUUCUCUUCAAGAUUGUUUUGUCUAUUCAGGGCCCCUUACAAUAUCAUAUGAAUUUGAGGAUUGGCAUUUCCACGUUUCUGCAAAAAAGACUGUUGGAAUUUUGAUAGGAAUUGUGUUGAAUCUGUAGAUUGCUUUGGGUAGUACUGACAUCUUAAUAUAAAGCCUUCCAAUCCAUGAAUACAGGAUGCCUUUCCAUUUAUUUAGGUCUCUUUUAAUUUCUUUCAGCAGCAUUUUCUAGUUUUCAAUAUGCAAUUCUUUGGCCUCCUUGGUUAGAUUUAUUCCUAGGUAAUCCUUUUACAUACUAUUGCAGAUGGAAUUGUAUUCUUAAUUUCAUUUUUGGAUUGUUCAUCACUAGUGUAUAAAAACGCAACUGAUUUUUAUGUGUUGAUCUUGUACCCUGCAACUUUGCUGAAUUUGUUUAUUAGCUUUAUGCCUUUUCUGUGCCUGAAAUGCUAUUUAUGCAUCAGUUGAGAUGGUCAUGUAGGUUUUUUCCUUUGUUCUAUUACUGUGAUGUAUAACCUUGAUCAAUUUUCUGCUGUUAAACCACUCUUGCAUUCCUGGGAUAAAUCCUACUUGAACUUAGUGUAUAAUCCUUUUAAUAUGCUCUUGGGUUUGGUUUGCUAGUAUUUUGUUGAAGAUUUUUGCAUCUAUAGUCAUAAGGGAUAUUGGUCUAUAAUUUUCUUUUCCUGUGAUGUCUCUAUCUGGUUUUGGUAGAGCCAAACUUUUCAAUAUGGGUGCACUUAACCAGCAAUCCUGGAUGUACUGUGUUAGCUGAAGCAUCUAGGAGUAUUUCUAAGAUUUGUUCUAUUGAUUGACUGAAACCUGGACUCAACACUAGCCUGUGUUAAAUAAGGCUAAGACGCCAGAUGUAAAAUGUAGUUGAAGGAAUCUAAAUGCUAGUGGUGCUGGUAUAGCAGUGAGCAUAGCCACCUUCCAAAUGUUCAGGGCAAUAAGAAUGCUGGAAUCAAUUCAUCAUGUGUAACCCAUUUAACUCACCCUCUAACUAUGUGGACAUUCCUUUCACAUUGGCUUUAAGAAAUAUAUUAUGAGGUGUGGCAGAGACUAGCUCGAUGGUCAUUAAGCCUGUUUUCUCUUCCUCCUCAGGACAAAUUUAUACCACAUUUUCCAGUGUCCCAUGCCACUGUCUGAGUUCUAGCUAAUGGAAUCAAGUGGCCACAUUGUGAGCUGCCCUGUGGAAAGGUCCACAUGGCAAGGAACCUGAGGGUCACCUCUAGCCAACAGCCAGCAAGAAUCUGAGGUCUUCAGUCCAACAACUGCAAGGAACUGAAUCCUGCCAACAGCCAUGUGAGUGAGCUUGGAAGGAGAUCCUUCCCCAGUCAUGCCUUGAGAUAACUGCAGCCCCGGCUGACACCUUGAUUGCAGCCUGUGAGAGACCCUGAAAUAGAAACCCAGCUAAGUUGCACCCAGAUUCCUGACCUACAGGAACUGUGAGAUAAAUGUCAUUGCUUUAAGCCGCUAAGUUUUUGGAGUAAUUUGUUACACAGCAAUACAUAUCAAACACAGGCAGGCAUGGAGGUUAUGCACAAGUUCAACAAUAGGACUUCUACCUACUAAGGCCAAUCUGGCUAUAGCACUGCUGAGUUCCCACCUGCCAAUAGCACAGAUCAACACUGAGCCCUCACUAUGAACUAUUUCUUGAGGGCAGGCUGAUUACUUAGAACCCCUUCUGUCAUGCAGCACAGACUUGUUCACAGAGACUUGGUGGGAAUCCCAACUCUGCCAGGCUGAUAUGCCUGUACUUCGAGGAGUCUGUUCCUGUAAGUCUGACAGGGACUUUAUGAAAUAUCUCACAUGGAGCUUGGCACCUAGGAUGGGGUUCACAAGGGGCUGCUCCCUUCCCUUUCCUGGAACCUGAGUGCCCCAGGGACAUGGGCCCUGUCUCUCUGCCUCGCAACCCCUCUUCUCCCACCAUCACCAUUUCAGGACUUCUGGGAAGCAUGGUCAGUGUCUGCCCCUUCAGGGCCCCAGUGACCAUGGACCUCAGUCCCCACUCUCAUAGGGUAGCACUCUUACCAAUGAGCUUUAUGCAAUGCAAAAGGAACAGUGUUCACAUGCACACUGGGGCUCCAAAUGCUGCUCGUCUCCCUCAUUCUGAGCCCAGACUGUGCAGGCCCCUGACUGGAAGCAGGGACAGGGGACUCAAACCUGGGCCUUGCCUUCCCUCCCGGAGCUCCCAGUCUGGGGAGCUUGGGGGUAGGAGAGACAAACCCAUUAACCCUAUAGGGUUUCAGACACCACAUAAGGCAUAGUGGAGGCACUAGGGUGUGGGAAAGAAGGAGUCGGCUGGACCUGAGGGAAGGGGCUGGGAAAAGUCCUUAGUGGAAGUGAGUCUCUUCCCACCCCCUUGUCACCUGCAGACCCAGGAGCCACCCUGAGGGCUGUGGCAAACUCUGGGAGGAUGCUGCAGCAAGGCAGUGUCUCUACAGUAGAAAAUGACUUUGAAGUGAAAAGAUACCCUCUGUUUUCCUAAUCCUCUUUCUCCCCAUCUGGAGCCCCCCUGAGGCAGUCACACCUCCCUUUCUAGGCAAGUGCCUGGGAAAGGGGGACAGAUCUGCAACCAGAGCUCCUGGGAUGCAUGCCCACCACGAGGAAUGGGGCAGGGCAGUGCCAAGAUGUGAAAGGCCAUGUGGAAAUGGCUGAGGGCUGGGUCCAUAUCCUAGAGGACCCCAGCCUGGGCCUCACAGUUCUCUAGCCUGGGAGCUACUACAGUUGGUAGGCGCCCUCUUCGUCUCGUGUCAGGCCACUUCUUCUGGGGCAUGCCUGCCUUGGGGCAGGGAGCGGUAGUGAAGUGCUGAGCCUGAGCCCCUUCCUGGCCCUGUCCCACCUCUCACAUCUCAGUCUCUUCUGAGGUCAUCUCCAACCCUCUUUUCAUGAUCAAUUCCAUAUAGGCAGGCAGACAAAGACCAGCCUUUUCCCCUGGACUGAGGUCUAGGGUCGAACUGGGCCCAGGACAGGGGUAUCCACCAGCCCCUGCCUCCCCUUACUUGUAUGGCCCAGUGCCUCCUGACUGCAAGACGGGAUACAGGGCUGAGCCAGACCCACUACCAAUCAAAGCUGUCAAGACGUUGGGCUUUCUCACUCAUCACUAGGUUCCUAUCAACUGGAAGUCUUGGUAAGGGGGAGAAGUGGACCAAAAUGAACCCACAGGGCCUUCAGAUGAGAAAGGGCAGAGAGUAGUGAUGGCCCCUGAUCUAGUCCAACACCCUCAUUUUAAAGACUUUGGAGCCCAGAAGGGGAAAAAAAAAUCUGUCCAAUAUAAAAGCACCAUUAAUAUCUAUAUUUAAACGUGAACUCGGGCCGGCCCGGUGGCACAGCGGUUAAG
ensembl:lncRNA